AGAGUUUGAUCCUGGCUCAGAUUGAACGCUGGCGGCAUGCCUUACACAUGCAAGUCGAACGGCAGCGGGGGAGCUUGCUCCUGCCGGCGAGUGGCGAACGGGUGAGUAAUGCAUCGGAACGUGUCCUGUUGUGGGGGAUAACUGAUCGAAAGAUCAGCUAAUACCGCAUGAGACCUGAGGGUGAAAGCGGGGGAUCGCAAGACCUCGCGCGACAGGAGCGGCCGAUGUCUGAUUAGCUAGUUGGUGAGAUAAAAGCUUACCAAGGCGACGAUCAGUAGCUGGUCUGAGAGGAUGAUCAGCCACAUUGGGACUGAGACACGGCCCAGACUCCUACGGGAGGCAGCAGUGGGGAAUUUUGGACAAUGGGGGAAACCCUGAUCCAGCCAUGCCGCGUGCGGGAUGAAGGCCUUCGGGUUGUAAACCGCUUUUGUCAGAGACGAAAAGGGACGUACGAAUAAUACGUUCCGCUGACGGUAUCUGAAGAAUAAGCACCGGCUAACUACGUGCCAGCAGCCGCGGUAAUACGUAGGGUGCAAGCGUUAAUCGGAAUUACUGGGCGUAAAGGGUGCGCAGGCGGCUGUGCAAGACAGAUGUGAAAUCCCCGGGCUUAACCUGGGAACUGCAUUUGUGACUGCACGGCUAGAGUUUGUCAGAGGAGGGUGGAAUUCCGCGUGUAGCAGUGAAAUGCGUAGAUAUGCGGAAGAACACCAAUGGCGAAGGCAGCCCUCUGGGACAUGACUGACGCUCAUGCACGAAAGCGUGGGGAGCAAACAGGAUUAGAUACCCUGGUAGUCCACGCCCUAAACGAUGUCAGCUGAUUGUUCGGAAAGCAAUUUCUGGGUAACCAAGCCAACGCGUGAAGCUGACCGCCUGGGAAGUACGGUCGCAAGAUUAAAACUCAAAGGAAUUGACGGGGACCCGCACAAGCGGUGGAUGAUGUGGAUUAAUUCGACGCAACGCGAAAAACCUUACCUAGCCUUGACAUGUCAGGAAUCCGGAUGAAAGUCUGGAGUGCCCGCAAGGGAGCCUGAACACAGGUGCUGCAUGGCUGUCGUCAGCUCGUGUCGUGAGAUG
rnacentral:rRNA from 1 species